rnacentral:rRNA from 1 species
AACGAACGCUGGCGGCAUGCCUAACACAUGCAAGUCGAACGAGAUCUUCGGGUCUAGUGGCGCACGGGUGCGUAACGCGUGGGAAUCUGCCCUUUGGUUCGGAAUAACAGCUGGAAACGACUGCUAAUACCGGAUGAUGACGAAAGUCCAAAGAUUUAUCGCCAGAGGAUGAGCCCGCGUAGGAUUAGCUAGUUGGUGUGGUAAAGGCGCACCAAGGCGACGAUCCUAGCUGGUCUGAGAGGAUGAUCAGCCACACUGGGGCUGAGACACGGCCCAGACUCCUACGGGAGGCAGCAGUGGGGAAUAUUGGACAAUGGGCGAAAGCCUGAUCCAGCAAUGCCGCGUGAGUGAUGAAGGCCUUAGGGUUGUAAAGCUCUUUUACCCGGGAUGAUAAUGACAGUACCGGGAGAAUAAGCUCCGGCUAACUCCGUGCCAGCCGCCGCAGUAA